CAAAUCUUAUCUUGUAAAUAGUUUUCUUUUGUUAUUAUUGUGUGUGUAGGAAGCAGUUCAUAGGGCCAUCAUUGCACGGAGGUUUAUACCAUUAUUCAUGGGCAGUGCUCUCAAAUAUAAGUUAUAAAAUUGGUUAGGGACACAUUUUAACGUGUGUUACAAACAUUACCACCAACAUGGCUUGUUUCUCCUCCAUGUCGCUCCUCCUCUCCUCCUCAACAUUCCACCUCCGUCGCUUCUCAACAGUGGAGUCAGCGGAGCUGCUGCACAACAUCUGGAUAUUGGGGCUCAUCGACCCUGCCAAGGUAAACUGGGAAGAGAGGUUCAUGUUAUACACAAGUAAGAUCAAAAGAGUUGAACGAGGCUGGGAGGAUAUUUGCGAGGAAACAAAAGGAGCGUCAGGAUUUAUACUUAGAGAAAAGUUCUUACAGAGAAAAUGCUCGAGAUCAAGAAUGUGUAGUGGGGGAAAUUGUUUAUGUUUCAGAUGUAAGUUAGACAGAUUAUUUCCGAAACCACGUUCUAAUUCGAUCGCGGCUGAUAUCACUUUCUUCAACUGGAAACACUACAAGAUUAGCAUAAUUGACACACCUGGUCGUGGCGUUGAUAAUUUCACUGCUGGGGUGAAGUGUGCUUUGCGUGCCUUUGACAGUGGUUGCCAUUAAUGUUCUUUGUAGUGUUGGUGGGGUGCAAAGCCACUCCCUAGUUGUUGAUAUAAACUACCAAGACUUAAAUUUAUCAACAAUGUUGACCACAAGGGAGCAAAUCCGUGGGAAGUUUUGAAUCAGGUAAAAUUUAGAUUAAUGGAUUGGAGGUCAUCAUAAAUUCUUAUGUUGUUAAUCCCAAAUAGCUGUACUACACAAAAUGCUAGAGGUAUAUAGUCGAUAGUAGGAUAGCCACUAUUGUGAUUACAUGUGAUUACAAGAGAAAAUGCUCAAGAUCAAGAAUGUGCAGUGGCUUGUCUUGAUCGCGGCUGAUAUCACUUUCUUCAACUGGAAACACUACAAGAUUAGCGUAAUUGACACACCUGGUCGUGGCGUUGAUAAUUUCACUGCUGGGGUGAAGUGUGCUUUGCGUGCCUUUGACAGUGGUUGCCAUUAAUGUUCUUUGUAGUGUUGGUGGGGUGCAAAGCCACUCCCUAGUUGUUGAUAUAAACUACCAAGACUUGAAUUUAUCAACAAUGUUGACCACAAGGGAGCAAAUCCGUGGGAAGUUUUGAAUCAGGUAAAAUUUAGAUUAAUGGAUUGGAGGUCAUCAUAAAUUCUUAUGUUGUUAAUCCCAGAUAGCCGUACUACACAAAAUGCUAGAGGCAUAUAGUCGAUAGUAGGAUAGCCGCUAUUGCGAAGACUAAAAUGCAGUGGACAAAGUAAACAUAAAUUCCAACAAGAUACAUAAAUACUAAAAAAUAGUUAGCAAUCGCAACCAACACUCCCACUAUGGUUGGGAGGAGCCGUUGUUUCGGCAUUGUAAUCGCGCUGCUACAAACUGCUAUGGAUUACAUGGGUUUUGUAGUCUACUGCUAUUAAAACAAUUUUGUUUAGUUUAUAAAGAGAUCUAAAGUAACAUCAUUAUAGAAAAAAAAUUGAAUU